GUGAGGUUUGUAGAAAACAUGAGAUUAGAGUGAGGUUUGUAGAAAACAUGAGUUUAGAGUGAGGUUUGUAGAAAACAUAAGUUUAGAGUGAGGUUUGUAGAAAACAUGAGUUUAGAGUGAGUGUUAUAGAAUGCAUGAGUUUAGAGUGAGGUUUGUAGAAAACAUGAGUUUAGAGUGAGUGUUAUAGAAUGCAUGAGUUUAGAGUGAGGUUUGUAGAAUACACAAGUUUAGAGUGAGUGUUAUAGAAUGCAUGAGUUUAGAGUGAGGUUUGUAGAAUACAUGAGUUUAGAGUGAGGUUUGUAGAAAACAUGAGUUUAGAGUGAGGUUUGUAGAAUACAUGAGUUUAGAGUGAGGUUUGUAGAAAACAUGAGUUUAGAGUGAGUGUUAUAAAAUGCAUGAGUUUAGAGUGAGGUUUGUAGAAUACAUGAGUUUAGAGUGAGUGUUAUAGAAUGCAUGAGUUUAAAGUGAGUGUUGUAGAAAACAUGAGUUUAGAGUGAGGUUUGUAGAAAACAUGAGUUUAGAGUGAGUGUUAUAGAAUGCAUGAGUUUAGAGUGAGGUUUGUAGAAUACACAAGUUUAGAGUGAGGU